ensembl:lncRNA
GAAAGUGUUUGCAAAGUGAUCGGGGGAACAGGGCACAAAGCUAAAGGAUGUAGCUGCCAUGAUGACAGAUGACAUUAAUGCUCGGAGUCCCUCAUCAAAGUGCUCCGCAUCUGUGUGAAAGACAAUUGCAACAUCUUGGUGCAGGAGUUCAUGGACUUGACUGAGGCCACUGCACAGAUUGAGAAAACCACAAUGAACAUCUGUCUCCAGAGGAUGCACCAGGCAAUGACUUUUCUGACGUUGGCAUCAUCAUCGAGGGUAUAGUAGUUCUUCAAGAUCUGGAUAACGUGACCUUUGCAGUAGCCAUGCUGUUUGGACCUUUUUUAUUCCUUCAACAUGAGUUACCCAUCACAACUCUGCUACACUUUUGAGGUGAUUCAAAGGGUGGUAAUGGAGUUGGAAGCAACUCAGCUCUCAAGAAAAGCUCACAACUAAGACAAAACUGCUCCUGCAACGAAGCUCACUGUUAUGCAUGUGAGGUGACCAGCUCUAGGUGAGAAGACAUUUAAAUCUCACACUUGUUCUGCUGCAUUUUUGAAGCUCAAUUCCAGGAACAGAUCGCAGGGUUCAUUUUUAUAUACACUGCAACUGCCAUGAGGACGAGCCGUUUUUUUGUUGUUGUUGUUUGUUUUUCCUUUUGCUCUGUACAAGUUCUCUGUCUGUUUGGCAGCAUUUUUAAAUUUCUCUUUGUAUUUUUUCUUUCUUUUACUAGUGAAGAGAUGUAGCAUGAACAGUUAUGCAGUCUAAAUAUCCCAUAUGGGCCGUGUGAAAUGGUAUUUUCAGUUUCAUUCAGUUGAAGUAAAGAACGUUGAAUAUUUCUAAGUGUGCUGUUUUGAACCAAGAUGUCACAGUAUGAUCAGUGCUGUAAUUUUUGACAGUCACUGUAUCAAUGUUAUUUUUGCAUCUCUUGAAUAAAGGUUUUGACCUGCAAGUGCUAAUUUCUUUAGUUAUUGGGGUAAAAUGGGUAAUGUUAAUAGGAAGGUGUUUGCCAAUUCAGUAACCUAAUUUAAUGUUAAUGGAAACUAACAUUACCUCAAAUUGUUUAGUUAUAAUUGUUGUUUAACUGAAUCUUGACGUCAGAGGCCUUAAAUAGAAUGUUUUGAUUUGUUCUUUCCCAACAUUUUUCAAAAGAAACAGUCUAAUUUCUUUGCUGUGAUUGAUUCCAGAGAACACGGAAGAACUGACAUUAUU